rnacentral:rRNA from 1 species
UGGAACCUACGGGAGGCAGCAGUGAGGAAUAUUGGUCAAUGGGCGUAAGCCUGAACCAGCCAAGUCGCGUGAGGGACGACGGCCCUACGGGUUGUAAACCUCUUUUGCCGGGGGGCAAACGGCGGCACGCGUGCCGUCCUGAGGGUACCCGGAGAAAAAGCAUCGGCUAACUCCGUGCCAGCAGCCGCGGUAAUACGGAGGAUGCGAGCGUUAUCCGGAUUUAUUGGGUUUAAAGGGUGCGUAGGCGGGAUGCCAAGUCAGCGGUCAAAUACGGGGGCUCAACCUGCGUCCGCCGUUGAAACUGG